UGGCCAAGGAUGAGAACUCUAAUCUGAUUUCAUAUGCUUCUGCUGUGAUGGAUUAAAGGAUUUACCUGAGGCCA
ensembl:snoRNA